AUUGAACGCUGGCGGCAGGCCUAACACAUGCAAGUCGAACGAGUGGCGGACGGGUGAGUAAUGUCUGGGAAACUGCCUGAUGGAGGGGGAUCACUACUGGAAACGGUAGCUAAUACCGCAUACCAUCAGAUGUGCCCAGAUGGGAUUAGCUUGUUGGUGGGGUAACGGCUCACCAAGGCGACGAUCCCUAGCCGGUCUGAGAGGGUGACCGGCCACACUGGAACUGGGGCACGGUCCAGACGCCUACGGGAGGCAGCAGUGGGGAAUAUUGCACAAUGGGAGAAAGACUGAAGCAGCCAUGCCGCGUGAAUGAAGAAGGCCUUCGGAUUGUAAAGUACUUUCAGCGGGGAGGCGUUAACCACAGAGGAAGCACCGGCUAACUCCGUGCCAGCAGCCGCGGUAAUUC
rnacentral:rRNA from 1 species